AUACUUACCUGGCAGGGGAGAUACCAUGAUCAUGAAGGUGGUUUUCCCAGGGCGAGGCUUAUCUAUUGCACUCCGGAUGUACUGACCCCUGUGAUUUCCCCAAAUGUGGGAAACUCGACUGCAUAAUUUGUGGUAGUGGGGGACUGCGUUUGCGCUGUUCCCUG
rnacentral:snRNA from 1 species